UACAGAGGUGGCAAGCGUUGUUCGGAAUUACUGGGCGUAAAGGGCGCGUAGGCGGCCUUCUAAGUCAGACGUGAAAUCCCCCGGCUUAACCUGGGAACUGCGUCUGAUACUGGGAGGCUUGAGUAUGGGAGAGGGAUGUAGAAUUCCAGGUGUAGCGGUGAAAUGCGUAGAUAUCAGAAGGAACAUCAGUGGCGAAGGCGGCUUCCUGGACCAAUACUGACGAUCAGGUGCGAAAGCGUGGGGAGCAAACAGG
rnacentral:rRNA from 1 species